AGUGAACGCUGGCGGUAGGCCUAACACAUGCAAGUCGAACGGCAGCACAGGAAGAUCUUGCUCUUACGGUUAGCGGGUGACGGGCGGGUGAGGAAUACAUCAGAAUCUACGUAUUCGGGGGGGAUAACGUAGGGAGACAGACACUACUACCUCAUACUGGCUACGGGUGGAAGCAUAGUUGCUUCGGACAUUGCGCGCAUUAAUGAGUCGAUGUCGGAUGGACUAGUUGGCGGGGUAAAGGCCGACCAAGGCGACGAUCGGUAGCUGGUCGAAGAGGAUGGCGAGCCACACUGGAACUGAGCACCGCUCAAGACUCUUACGGGAGGCAGCAGUGGGGAAUAUUGGACAAUGGGCGAAAGCCUGCUCAAGACCUACCGCGUGGGUGAAGAAGGCUUUCGGGUGGUAAAGCCCUUUUGUUGUGAAAGAAAAGCAGCAGGUUAAUACCCUGCUGUUCUGACGGUACCCAACGAAUAAGCAACGGCUAACUUCGUG
rnacentral:rRNA from 1 species